rnacentral:rRNA from 1 species
AGAGUUUGAUCCUGGCUCAGGACGAACGCUGGCGGCGCGCCUAACACAUGCAAGUCGAACGGAGAAUGCGGGACUGAAGCUUUCGGGCAGAUGACUUGUAUUCUUAGUGGCGGACGGGUGAGUAACGCGUGGGUAACCUGCCUUCAAGAGGGGGAUAACACUUGGAAACGGGUGGUAAUACCGCAUAAGACCACAGUGCCGCAUGGCACAGAGGUCAAAGGAGCAAUCCGCUUGAAGAUGGGCUCGCGUCCGAUUAGAUAGUUGGUGAGGUAACGGCUCACCAAGUCGACGAUCGGUAGCCGGACUGAGAGGUUGAACGGCCACAUUGGGACUGAGACACGGCCCAGACUCCUACGGGAGGCAGCAGUGGGGGAUAUUGCACAAUGGGCGAAAGCCUGAUGCAGCGACGCCGCGUGAGGGAAGACGGCCUUCGGGUUGUAAACCUCUGUCAUUCGGGACGAAUAUAUGACGGUACCGAAGAAGGAAGCUCCGGCUAACUACGUGCCAGCAGCCGCGGUAAUACGUAGGGAGCGAGCGUUGUCCGGAAUUACUGGGUGUAAAGGGAGCGUAGGCGGGAAAGCAAGUUGGAAGUGAAAUGCAUGGGCUUAACCCAUGAGCUGCUUUCAAAACUGUUUUUCUUGAGUGAAGUAGAGGCAGGCGGAAUUCCUAGUGUAGCGGUGAAAUGCGUAGAUAUUAGGAGGAACACCAGUGGCGAAGGCGGCCUGCUGGGCUUUAACUGACGCUGAGGCUCGAAAGCGUGGGUAGCAAACAGGAUUAGAUACCCUGGUAGUCCACGCUGUAAACGAUGAUUACUAGGUGUGGGGGAUUUCGGUCCUCCGUGCCGGAGCAAACGCAAUAAGUAAUCCACCUGGGGAGUACGGCCGCAAGGCUGAAAC